rnacentral:rRNA from 1 species
CACGCCCUAAACGAUGUUCACUCGUUUUUUGGAGUAUCGACCCUCCGAGAGACUAAGCUAACGCGAUAAGUGAACCGCCUGGGUAGUACGAUCGCAAGAUUAAAACUCAAAGGAAUAGACGGGGACUUGCACAAGCGGUGGAUUAUGUGGUUUAAUUCGUAGGUACACGAAGAACCUUACCAAGGCUAGACAUCCUGACGAAACUCUUAGGAAACUUUGAGCCCUCGCAAGAGCGGCAGGACAGGUGA